UACGUAGGGGGCAAGCGUUGUCCGGAUUUAUUGGGCGUAAAGAGCGUGUAGGCGGCCAGGUAGGUCAGCUGUGAAAACUCGAGGCUCAACCUCGAGACGUCGGUUGAAACCACCUGGCUAGAGUCCGGAAGAGGAGAGUGGAAUUCCUGGUGUAGCGGUGAAAUGCGCAGAUAUCAGGAGGAAUACCGAUGGCGAAGGCAGGUCUCUGGGCUGACACUGACGCUCAUGCACGAAAGCGUGGGGAGCAGACAGG
rnacentral:rRNA from 1 species